rnacentral:rRNA from 1 species
CCUACGGGUGGCAGCAGUAGGGAAUAUUGCUCAAUGGGGGAAACCCUGAAGCAGCAACGCCGCGUGGAGGAUGAAGGUUUUCGGAUUGUAAACUCCUUUUGUUAGAGAAGAUAAUGACGGUAUCUAACGAAUAAGCACCGGCUAACUCCGUGCCAGCAGCCGCGGUAAUACGGAGGGUGCAAGCGUUAUUCGGAAUUACUGGGCGUAAAGAGCGCGUAGGCGGGAUAGCAAGUCAGAUGUGAAAUACUAUGGCUUAACCAUAGAACUGCCUUUGAAACUGUGAUUCUAGAGUAUGGGAGAGGUAGGUGGAAUUCUUGGUGUAGCGGUAAAAUGCGUAGAGAUCAAGAGGAAUACUCAUUGCGAAGGCGACCUGCUAGAACAUAACUGACGCUGAUGCGCGAAAGCGUGGGGAGCAAACAGGAUUAGAUACCCGUGUAGUC